GAUGAAGAACGCAGCGAAAUGCGAUAAGUAAUGUGAAUUGCAGAAUUCAGUGAAUCAUCGAAUCUUUGAACGCACAUUGCGCCCCCUGGUAUUCCGGGGGGCAUGCCUGUUCGAGCGUCAUUUCAACCCUCAAGCCCCGCUUGGUGUUGGGCCCCGCCCGCUGUGGCCGGCCCUAAAGACAGUGGCGGCGCCGCCUGGCCCUCAGCGUAGUACAUCUCUCGCUCCAGGGUCCGGUGGCCGCCUGCCAGAACCCCCCAACUCUGUGGUUGACCUCGGAUCAGGUAGGGAUACCCGCUGAACUUAAGCAUAUCAAUAAGCGGAGGA
rnacentral:misc_RNA from 1 species